CCGACCUUAGCUCAGUUGGUAGAGCGGAGGACUGUAGUGUGUGCAGAUAAUCCUUAGGUCGCUGGUUCGAAUCCGGCAGGUCGGA
rnacentral:tRNA from 1 species